GUGUUCUUCAGCUUAAUCUUCAUGUUUUCAUGGUAUCAGAGCCGAAAAAUCUUCUGAUCCUUCUCUGUUAUGUGUUGUCGAUACUUGCUGAAGCUUUUGCUGAAGUUUUUCUUCGGUUAUCUGAGAAAAAUACUGUUCGUUUAUUUUUCGAUGAAUGUUAAUCGGAUAAUCGGAACUUUUCUGACUGUUUGAGGCUCCGAUCAUGUAUCAGUAGAUGUUUUUGGGUGGUUUUCCGACAUCUUAGUGUCUUAUUCCGGUGAGUUCUUCAAAAUCUAAGGUUUUCCGACUUUCGGACCAAGGGUUUUGAUGUUAUCCGAUGAUUUUACCUUCGGUCGAUAGACGUUUUGGGUAAGUUUCCGACGUUUGUGACCUGAUUCUGGUGAGUUUCCGUUUAUCUGCAAUUUCCGGUGACCGGACUUAGUUUCAUCCGGUGGUUGAAGGCCGUUCUUCUCCGGUCGCGAAGAAGGAGGGUAGCACUUUCUCUGUUCUGAGUGUUGUAUAUGUUGCAUGCCAGUACUGGUUUGAUUGUGGUCUAUUCAUUGAAACUAUUUCUGAGUUGUUAAGUUUGUUCAUUAUUCAUGGC
rnacentral:lncRNA from 1 species